ensembl:lncRNA
GUGUGUGUGUGUGUGUGGGGAGAGUAACAGUGUGUGUGUAUGUGGGGAGAGUAACAGUGUGUGUGUGUGUGUAUGGGGGAGAGUAACAGUGUGUGUGUAUGUGGGGAGAGUAACAGUGUGUGUGUAUGUGGGGAGAGUGACAGUGUGUGUGUAUGUGUGGAGAGUAACAGUGUGUGUGUGUGUGGGGGGAGUAACAGUGUGUGUGUGUGUGUGUGUGGGGAGAGUGUAACAGUGUGUGUGUGUGUGGGGAGAGUAACAGUGUGUGUGUAUGUGGGGAGAGUAACAGUGUGUGUGUGUGUGUGGGGAGAGUAACAGUGUGUGUGUGUGUGUGUGUGUAUGUGGG